AUUGAACGCUGGCGGCAGGCCUAACACAUGCAAGUCGAGCGGAUGAAGGGAGCUUGCUCCUGGAUUCAGCGGCGGACGGGUGAGUAAUGCCUAGGAAUCUGCCUGGUAGUGGGGGAUAACGUCCGGAAACGGGCGCUAAUACCGCAUACGUCCUGAGGGAGAAAGUGGGGGAUCUUCGGACCUCACGCUAUCAGAUGAGCCUAGGUCGGACUAGCUAGUUGGUGGGGUAAAGGCCUACCAAGGCGACGAUCCGUAACUGGUCUGAGAGGAUGAUCAGUCACACUGGAACUGAGACACGGUCCAGACUCCUACGGGAGGCAGCAGUGGGGAAUAUUGGACAAUGGGCGAAAGCCUGAUCCAGCCAUGCCGCGUGUGUGAAGAAGGUCUUCGGAUUGUAAAGCACUUUAAGUUGGGAGGAAGGGCAGUAAGUUAAUACCUUGCUGUUUUGACGUGACCAACAGAAUAAGCACCGGCUAACUUCG
rnacentral:rRNA from 1 species